UUGGAGGGCAAGUCUGGUGCCAGCAGCCGCGGUAAUUCCAGCUCCAAUAGCGUAUAUUAAAGUUGUUGCAGUUAAAAAGCUCGUAGUUGAACCUCGGGAUCAAUGGGUCGGUCGUGCCAAUGGUAUGUACUGGCCUCAUUGGUUCUCACCUUCUAAGGAACCGUGAUGUCAUUUGUUUGAUGUUGCGGGGAAUUAGGACUGUUACCUUGAAAAAUUAGAGUGUUUAAAGCAGGCCAACGCUUGAAUACAUUAGCAUGGAAUAAUGAAAUAGGACAUCGCAUUCUAUUUUGUUGGUUUCUAGGAUCGAUGUAAUGAUUAAUAGGGAUAGUUGGGGGCAUUAGUAUUCAAUUGUCAGAGGUGAAAUUCUUGGAUUUAUUGAAGACUAACUACUGCGAAAGCAUUUGCCAAGGAUGUUUUCAUUAAUCAAGAACGAAAGUUAGGGGAUCGAAGACGAUCAGAUACCGUCGUAGUCUUAACCAUAAACUAUGCCGACUAGGGAUCGGAUGAUGUUGAUUUUUAAUGUACUC
rnacentral:rRNA from 1 species